rnacentral:rRNA from 1 species
UACGUAGGGGGCAAGCGUUGUCCGGAAUCAUUGGGCGUAAAGAGCGUGUAGGCGGCCCGAUAAGUCCGCUGUGAAAGUCCAGGGCUCAACCCUGGGAUGCCGGUGGAUACUGUCGGGCUCGAGUCCGGAAGAGGAGUGUGGAAUUCCUGGUGUAGCGGUGAAAUGCGCAGAUAUCAGGAGGAACACCUGCGGCGAAGGCGGGUUGCUGGGCUGAUACUGACGCUGAUGCGCGAAAGCCAGGGGAGCGAACGGG